UCCGACCUCGCUGUAGGAGAA
rnacentral:miRNA from 1 species